GAUAUCUAGGUCAAGUUCGAAAGUGGGUCACAUGCCGUUAAAAACUAGGUCAGUAGGUCAAAUAAUAGAAAAACCUUGUGACCUCUCUAAAGGCCAUAUUUUUCAUGGGAUCUGUAUGAAAGUUGGUCUGAAUGUUCAUCUUAAUGAUAUCUAGGUCAAGUUUGAAAGUGGGUCACAUGCCUUCAAAAACUAGGUCAGUAGGUCAAAUAAUAGAAAAACCUUGUGACCUCUCUAAAGGCCAUAUUUUUCAUGGGAUCUGUAUGAAUGUUGGUCUGAAUGUUCAUCUUGAUGAUAUCUAGGUCAAGUUCAAAACUGGGUCAUGUGCGGUCAAAAACUAGGUCAGUAGGUCAAAUAAUAGAAAAACCUUGUGACCUCUCUAGAGGCCAUACUUGUGAAUGGAUCUCCAUAAAAAUUGCUCAGAAUGUUCAUCUUGAUGAUAUCUAGGUCAAGUUCGAAACUGGGUCAAGUGCCCUCAAAAAGUAGGUCAGUAGGUCAAAUAAUGAAAAAACGUUGUGACCUCCCUAGAGGCCAUAUUUUUCAUGGGAUCUGUAUGAAAGUUGGUCUGAAUGUUUAACUUGAUGAUAUAUAGGUCAAGUUUAAAAGUGGGUCAACUGCGAUCAAAAACUAGGUCAGUAGGUCUUGAAAUAGAAAAACCUUGUGACCUCUCUAGAGGCCAUACCCUUGAAUGGAUCUUCAUGAAAAUUGGUCAGAAUGUUCACCUUGAUGAUAUCUAGGUCAAGUUUGAAACUGGGUCACGUGCGGUCAUAAACUAGGUCAGUAGGUCUAAAAUUAUUAAAAUGUUUUGACCUCUCUAGAGGCCAUAUUUUUCAAUGGAUCUUCAUGAAAAUUGAUCUGAAUGUUCACCUUGAUGAUAUCUAGGUCAGUUAGGAAACUGGGUCACGUGCGGUCAAAAACUAGGCCAGUAGAUAUAAAAAUAGAAAAACCUUGUGACCUCUUUAGAGGCCAUAUUUUUCAUGAGAUUUUCAUGAAAAUUAGUGAGAAUGUUCACCUUGAUGAUAUCUAGGUAAAGUUCAAAACAGGGUCACGUACCUUCGAAAACUAGGUCAAUAGGUCAAAUAAUAGAAAAACCUUGUGACCUCUCUAGAGACAAUACUUUUCAAUGGAUCUUCAUGAAAAUUGGUCAGAAUUUUUAUCUUGAUAAUAUCUAGGUCAAGUUCUAAACUGGGUCACAUGAGCUCAAAAACUAGGUCACUAUGUCAAAUAAUAGAAAAAACGACGUCAUACUCAAAAAUGGGUCAUGUGGAAAGAGGUGAGCGAUUCAGGACCAUCUUGGUCCUCUUGUAUGUAUUUAACUUGUGUGUGUGUGUGUGUUUGUGUGUGUGUGUGUGUGGUUUAAGUGAAAAAUGCAUGUUAAAUGCAUUAUCUUUCUAGUAAAAGAUUAAAGUUUCAGAUCUAUUAUGCAACUACAUUAAUAUGUAUAAUAUGUGACUAGGUCCUACUGUAAGCAUACACUAGGACUUACAUGAAAGCAUUCAGUCUUGGAUUAGGAUAUAGAACUCUAGGAAGGAGCCAUCCAGAUAGUAUAUGGAAGGUCAUUGGUUCUACCCAGUGCUUGCCAGUGCCGGAUAUAGUACUUGGAGGAACACCUGGUGCCUUCAUACAUACAAAAAAGUUAGAUAAAUUGCAGAAUGAUUUUAACUGUUUCUUGUGUAUCUUUAAACACAACAAAAUAAGUAUCCGUGGUUAUGCUGGAGAUCAGGGUUGUGGUCAUAUCUUACCAUGAUAUGGUUAAUUUAGAGAAACAGACCAUGGAACUUUGUGUAUGGCUGAAAGCAUUGUUAAUCCUUGCAGCUAUGUGCAUGUGAUUUCUAUAAGAUAGUUAGUUAUUUGUACAUCAGGGUUGUAUGAUUGUAAAGUUAUCACUUAUUAUAUUUAUAUGAAUAUUGCUUACUCACCUGGACAUUUAACAUACAAGCUACUUAAAGCUGCACAUGUUGAAUAUUUGGAACUUAUGUGCACAGUAGUUGUUAACCAGGGUUUCAUAUUGACUGAUCAGUGGAUGUAUAUGAUAAAGUCCUCCCAGAGUCAUGGUAUCUGAUCUCUUUACAUUCUAUGUAUUUCGGUUAUGCUAUAGCAGAUUGAACCAUGAAAUAUAAGAAAUGAUUAAGUAUUUACUAAGUGAUUAGAGUCAACAUGGCCUAUUUUGUUUAUAGCAAGGUGAAAUAUUGAAUAUACUGAAACUGUUACUAAAAAUAGAAAAACGAUUUAGGCAAACAUGCUUCAAAAUUGACAAAAAUAACUAUUAGGUGACUUGUUCUCAGUUGGGAUAAACCUGAUGAGCUUGUAUAAAUUCCACAAAUGUUUUACCAUUAUUGGUUGUUCUGUUGUUUCUUUGAUCAGUAGAUACUGUCUGUUUUUGUUUUUCCUUGUUUUGUUUUUGGUUUCCGCCAUCUAUCACAGUGAAGCUGUAAAUAGUAAACACACAAACUAUGCAUGAGAACGUGAUUUCUAUGUGAAGUACAAAGGUUUUUUAGAAACUGUCUGGAAUGGUCAUGUGACAUUUCCUCUGUUUCCUGGCUCAGUCAGAAGGAGAGGUACCAGGUGGGGUUUGAAAAUAAUACCAACCAUGAUACUCUACAAAACUUGUUUUCUGUUGUUUUCUCAUUGUUUAAUACAUGCAAAAAAAAACAAUAAAUGAUGUCUAUUUCUGUAA